rnacentral:rRNA from 1 species
UUGAGUUUGAUCCUGGCUCAGAAUCAACGCUGGCGGCGUGCCUCAGACAUGCAAGUCGAACGAGUAAAGCUCUCUUCGGAGAGUGUAUAGAGUGGCGCACGGGUGAGUAACACGUAAGUAAUCUACCCUCGAGUGGGGAAUAACAACCGGAAACGGUUGCUAAUACCGCAUAAUGCAGCGGCACCGCAAGGUGACAGUUGUUAAAGAUUUAUCGCUUGAGGAGGAGCUUGCGGCAGAUUAGCUAGUUGGUAGGGUAACGGCUUACCAAGGCUACGAUCUGUAACCGGUCUAAGAGGACGGUCGGUCACACUGACACUGAAUAACGGGUCAGACUCCUACGGGAGGCAGCAGUCGGGAAUUUUGGGCAAUGGGCGAAAGCCUGACCCAGCAACGCCGCGUGAAGGAUGAAGUAUUUCGGUAUGUAAACUUCGAAAGAAUAGGAAGAAUUAAUGACGGUACUAUUUAUAAGGUCCGGCUAACUACGUGCCAGCAGCCGCGGUAAUACGUAGGGACCAAGCGUUGUUCGGAUUUACUGGGCGUAAAGGGCGCGUAGGCGGUGCGGUAAGUCACUUGUGAAAUCUCUGAGCUUAACACAGAACGGCCAAGUGAUACUGCAGUACUAGAGUGCAGAAGGGGCAAUCAGAAUUCUUGGUGUAGCGGUGAAAUGCGUAGAUAUCAAGAGGAAUACCUGAGGUGAAGACGGGUUGCUAGGCUGACACUGACGCUGAGGCGCGAAAGCU